rnacentral:rRNA from 1 species
GCAGUCGAGCGACCAAUGGGAGCUUGCUUCCUGAGGUUAGCGGCGGACGGGUGGAGUAACACGUGGGUUAACCUUGCCUGUAAGAUUGGGAUAACUCCGGGAAACCCGGAAGCUAAUUACCGGAUAAUCAUUUUGAACCCGCAUGGUUCAAAAUUGAAAGACGGCUUUUAGCUGUCACUUACAGAUGGACCCGCGGCGCAUUAGCUAGUUGGGGAGGUAACGGCUCACCAAGGCGACGAUGCGUAGCCGACCUGAGAGGGUGAUCGGCCACACUGGGAACUGAGACACGGCCCAGACUCCUACGGGAGGCAGCAGUAGGAAAUCUUCCGCAAUGGGACGAAAGUCUGACGAACCACCGCCGCGUGAACGAUGAAGGCCUUCGGGUCGUAAAGUUCUGUUGUUAGGGAAGAACAAGUACCAGAGUAACUGCUGGUACCUUGACGGUACCUAACCAGAAAGCCACGGCUAACUACGUGCCACCAGCCGCGGUAAUACGUAGGUGGCAAGCGUUGUCCGGAAUUAUGGGGCGUAAAGCGCGCGCAGGCGGUUUCUUAAGUCUGAUGUGAAACCCCACGGCUCAACCGUGGAGGGUCAUUGGAAACUGGGGAACUUUGAGUGCAGAAGAGGAGAGUGAAAUUUCCACGUGUAGCGGUGAAAUGCGUAGAGAUGUGGAGGAACACCAGUGGCGAAGGCGACUCUCUGGUCUGUAACUGACGCUGAGGCGCGAAAGCGUGGGGAGCGAACAGGAUUAGAUACCCUGGUAGUCCACGCCGUAAACGAUGAGUGCUAAGUGUUAGAGGGUUUCCGCCCUUUAGUGCUGCAGCAAACGCAUAAGC